CCUACGGGAGGCAGCAGUGAGGAAUAUUGGUCAAUGGACGAGAGUCUGAACCAGCCAAGUAGCGUGAAGGAUGACUGCCCUAUGGGUUGUAAACUUCUUUUAUAUGGGAAUAAAAUGUUCCACGUGUGGGAUUUUGUAUGUACCAUAUGAAUAAGGAUCGGCUAACUCCGUGCCAGCAGCCGCGGUAAUACGGAGGAUUCGAGCGUUAUCCGGAUUUAUUGGGUUUAAAGGGAGCGUAGGUGGAUUGUUAAGUCAGUUGUGAAAGUUUGCGGCUCAACCGUAAAAUUGCAGUUGAAACUGGCAGUCUUGAGUACAGUAGAGGUGGGCGGAAUUCGUGGUGUAGCGGUGAAAUGCUUAGAUAUCACGAAGAACUCCGAUUGCGAAGGCAGUUCACUGGACUGCAACUGACACUGAGGCUCGAAAGUGUGGGUAUCAAACAGGAUUAGAUACCCGAGUAGUC
rnacentral:rRNA from 1 species